GAUUCCUGCCUACGUGAAGCUUUCCCAAGGCUCCCUAUGCUGAUAAGGAUUCAGACAACUCUUUCCAAACAGAGCUACCAAGAGAAACUCAUUGCUGCCUGGCACCCAGCAGGUUCAGGCUGUUGUGGUGAUAUGCAGCACAGGUGCAGGAUCGAUGCUGUGGUGAGCAAGACGUCAAGGGAUGUUCGGACAAGGCAGAACAUCUCCCCA